rnacentral:rRNA from 1 species
UACGAAGGGGGCUAGCGUUGCUCGGAAUCACUGGGCGUAAAGGGUGCGUAGGCGGGUUUUUAAGUCAGGGGUGAAAUCCUGGAGCUCAACUCCAGAACUGCCAUUGAUACUGAAGAUCUUGAGUUCGGGAGAGGUGAGUGGAACUGCGAGUGUAGAGGUGAAAUUCGUAGAUAUUCGCAAGAACACCAGUGGCGAAGGCGGCUCACUGGCCCGAUACUGACGCUGAGGCACGAAAGCGUGGGGAGCAAACAGG